rfam:Salmo salar isolate Sally breed double haploid chromosome ssa17, whole genome shotgun sequence.
UGCUCUCAUGCCUGUAAGUCGCUUUGGAUAAAAGCUUCUGCUAAAUGGCAUAUA